GGCAAGGCGAGAUGGGACAAGGUACCAUCUCAUCAAUAAUUUACAGAAGCUCUCCCAGUGGGACAUGCUGUGCGAAGAGGCUCGCGUGUUUUGGAUCACCUGUAACCAUAUGGGUAGAGGGAAUGUGUCAUUCAGAUCUCGUUCCCAUUUUAGCAUAUAGGCAUGUUUAAUGGCCCUGUCCACAUCAUUAAUUGCUGAAUAACUCAAGGAGAGGGGUUUGCCCAUGGUUUGGGUGGUGAUGCAACGUCGCCCAAACGUUGUGAGGUGUUCUAUCUCACUGUGGUGUAUGUUUAACGAUGAUAGAGCGUGUUUG